CUAAGGAGCAAGCGUUGUCCGGAAUCAUUGGGCGUAAAGGGCUCGUAGGCGGUUUUAAAAGUCAGAUGUUAAAUUAUCAGGCUCAACCUGGUACUGUCAUCUGGAACUUUAAGACUUGAGGUUAGAAGAGGAAAGUGGAAUUCCCGGUGGAGCGGUGAAAUGCGUAGAUAUCGCGAGGAACGCCGGUGGCGAAAGCGACCUUCUGGGGUGCUUGUGACGCUGAGGCGCGAAAGCUAGGGGAGCGAACGGGAUUAGAUACCCGAGUAGUCC
rnacentral:rRNA from 1 species